rnacentral:rRNA from 1 species
GACGAACCGUCCAAACGUUAUUCGGAAUUAUUGGGCUUAAAGGGUGCGUAGGCUGUGCAGUAAGUUGGGUGUGAAAUCCCUCAGCUUAACUGAGGAAGGGCGCCCAAAACUACUAUGCUCGAGGGAGAUAGAGGAGUGCGGAACUUAGGGUGGAGCGGUGAAAUGCGUUGAUAUGCUAGGGAACACCGGUGGCGAAAGCGGCACUCUGGAUCUCUUCUGACGCUGAGGCACGAAAGCUAGGGUAGCAAACGGG